rnacentral:rRNA from 1 species
UCAGGCCUAACACAUGCAAGUCGAACGGCAGCACGGGAGCAAUCCUGGUGGCGAGUGGCGAACGGGUGAGUAAUACAUCGGAACGUGCCCAAUCGUGGGGGAUAACGUAGCGAAAGCUACGCUAAUACCGCAUACGAUCUACGGAUGAAAGCGGGGGAUCGCAAGACCUCGCGCGAAUGGAGCGGCCGAUGGCAGAUUAGGUAGUUGGUGGGGUAAAGGCUCACCAAGCCAACGAUCUGUAGCUGGUCUGAGAGGACGACCAGCCACACUGGAACUGAGACACGGUCCAGACUCCUACGGGAGGCAGCAGUGGGGAAUUUUGGACAAUGGGCGCAAGCCUGAUCCAGCAAUGCCGCGUGCAGGAUGAAGGCCUUCGGGUUGUAAACUGCUUUUGUACGGAACGAAACGGCGAGCUCUAAUACAGUUG